rnacentral:rRNA from 1 species
UACUCCUUCGGGGGGGGCAGCAGUGGGGAAUAUUGCACAAUGGGCGCAAGCCUGAUGCAGCAACGCCGCGUGAGGGAUGACGGCCUUCGGGUUGUAAACCUCUUUUAGUAGGGAAGAAGCGAAAGUGACGGUACCUGCAGAAAAAGCACCGGCUAACUACGUGCCAGCAGCCGCGGUAAUACGUAGGGUGCGAGCGUUGUCCGGAAUUAUUGGGCGUAAAGAGCUCGUAGGCGGUCUGUCGCGUCUGCUGUGAAAACCCGAGGCUCAACCUCGGGCCUGCAGUGGGUACGGGCAGACUAGAGUGCGGUAGGGGAGAAUGGAAUUCCUGGUGUAGCGGUGGAAUGCGCAGAUAUCAGGAGGAACACCGAUGGCGAAGGCAGUUCUCUGGGCCGUAACUGACGCUGAGAGCGAAGCUGCUG